GUGAGGAAUAUUGGUCAAUGGGCGCAAGCCUGAACCAGCCAUGUCGCGUGCAGGAAGACGGUCCUAUGGAUUGUAAACUGCUUUUAUUUGGGAAUAAACUCCGGUACGUGUACCGGCCUGAAGGUACCAAAUGAAUAAGCACCGGCUAACUCCGUGCCAGCAGCCGCGGUAAUACGGAGGGUGCAAGCGUUAUCCGGAAUCAUUGGGUUUAAAGGGUCCGCAGGCGGUCUUAUAAGUCAGUGGUGAAAGCCUACAGCUCAACUGUAGAACUGCCAUUGAUACUGUAGGACUUGAAUUCGAUCGAAGUGGGCGGAAUGUGACAUGUAGCGGUGAAAUGCUUAGAUAUGUCACAGAACACCGAUAGCGAAGGCAGCUCACUAGGUCUGGAUUGACGCUCAGGGACGAAAGCGUGGGGAGCAAACAGGAUUAGAAACCCCGGUAGUCC
rnacentral:rRNA from 1 species